AACACAUUGCAGAUAUAAUCUCAAGACCUUGUGGCAUGUACUUGUCACUACAUGCAUAACUUACUAUGGACAGAGGAUCACGGAGAUUUUGAACAUAAUUUCCCACACGACAGGAGAUUAAAUAGACCACAUUGGAAGAAGGAAUAUCAGACAUUAAUGAACCAAUAGAGAAGAUACUGGGGUGCAGAAGAGCUUUCCCAGUGUCCUGGGAGCCAUUCUACACAGCACCCUGCAGCAUGACUUUGGAUCUGCUGUGCUUAGUUUCUUUACUUGUGAAAACAGAGUAAUAGUAGCACCUACCUCACAGGAUUGUUCUGAAGAUUAGAGGGAUUCUUUCAUGGAAAGCUCUAGAGCAGUGCUUGAGAGAUGUAUUCCAGAUCAUCUCAACCCACUAUCCAACCAAACAUGGAGAGCAGAGCAGCCCCAUCUCAGUUAUGGUAGCAGAUGAAGCAACUCAGAUAGCUCUGCAGAAAACCUCCAAUCAAAUGCUUAGGAAUAGAAGCUCCCUGAACUUCUAUUUGGCAUACUCAGUCCAUAGAUACUGGACUACCUAUGGAUACAUUAAGAUGCAACUCAUUUCCCUGGCUAUUUAAGGUAUAUAUGAAGACUAAAAUAGUUACUCUUUUUCGCUUUAGGAAGAUUCUUAGUUUAACUUUUAAUUACUUCCUAGGAAUGACUGCCCCCACCCGAUUCACUUAAGCAGAUGUAACUACAACUGCAAAAACACUGUUGACUGAUGUUCUCUAGAGACCUGUUCAUUACCUGUCAUUAAAUGUUUUAAAAAGUUUGCAUAAUUGAUCCAGCCAAUAAGUCAUCAUUGAUUUAUGGGGUUCUGUGCUGAAGAGUUGCUCUUUAAAAAUUCAUCACACCAGUAUGUGUCUUUACAAUCCAUUAGCUGUUUACGUACCCACAGUCUUAGCAUUGAUUGACCUUGGACUGAGAUUCUCAUGGACUUCUUUUUUUUGCAAGUCCUCAGUAUAGAAAAGCAAUACUUCAGCCUUAUCCCUUGACAGCUAUACUUUGAUUUUUUCCCCUCCAUCAAAAUGAAAACUUUACUUGAAAUGAUGAAUAAAUAAAGCAUAUUCCAUAAACAGCUCUUCACUAUUAUUUAAGCUUAUGGGCUGCGUGUGUGAAUCUCCUUUCCCCACCAUCAGAUUCAAGUGUGUAAAUGUUCUAAAAGGCUUUGAAAGUUUUAUGAUGAUUUCAGGGGAUGGUGGAGUAAUAGCUGAAGAGUGAAGCUAUUAGUUUUAAUAUUUAUAUUGAGUGCUCUGAAACAUUAAUGUGACAGGAUGUAAGAUCAGUGCAGUGGGAUAUAUUUACUUCACAACCACUGCCACGUGGCAAAAGGAAAAAAACUCUGUGUGUGCAUUUAUUUUCUAAAACUUUGAGGCCAAGUUUCAAAUGUUUGUGGGGUUUUGUUUUGUUUUGUUUUGUUUUCCUUUUCACAAGAUUUAAAGUUUCAGCUGACAGAUAGAUUUGCUUUUCUUGAACUUGAGCUACUCUUAGGAGGCAGGAAUGUACUGCCAGACAAAGCUUGGCACAUGGGUUUGUUAGUUUAUAUGAGUCUGCAUUCAAAUAUCCUCUGAGCCUGCCAUGGUAAAUACUAUCCACCAGAUAAGUAACACUUGGUUAUGCCAACUGUGUCUUGGGAAAAUUUAAAGAAUGAUGGUUGUAAAUCUGGAUUGAGAAACCUUCAUGGACAGCUCCUCUUAGGAACUUCGUAUGGAGAAGUAAGGCAAAACAUUUCCGAUUCUGGACUCUGACAGCUCUGGGUUGCAGUCUCAGCUCCACCCUGACAGGCUGUGUGAACUCGUGAAUGUUCCUUCACAUCUUCAAGUAUUGGUUAUUGAUUUUUUAAAUGAUAAUUGUACCAACAACAUAGUUCUUGUGAUGAUUAAAUGAGAUAAUCUCUUUAAAGACCUGUCACAAAUGGCAUAAAUAUUUCCUAUUAUCAUCACCAAAAUCAAAUAAGCAAAUA
rnacentral:lncRNA from 10 species